AGGACGAACGCUGGCGGCGUGCUUAACACAUGCAAGUCGAGCGACGCUCCUCCUUCGGGAGGAUGACGGAGCGGCGAACGGGUGAGUAACACGUGGGCAACCUGCCCCUAGCUCUGGGAUAACCCCGGGAAAUCGGGACUAAUACCGGAUAUGAAGUCGGACGGCAUCUUCUGACUUGGAAAGUUUUUCGGCUAGGGAUGGGCCCGCGGCCUAUCAGCUUGUUGGUGGGGUAACGGCCUACCAAGGCGACGACGGGUAGCCGGCCUGAGAGGGCGACCGGCCACACUGGGACUGAGACACGGCCCAGACUCCUACGGGAGGCAGCAGUGGGGAAUAUUGCACAAUGGGCGAAAGCCUGAUGCAGCGACGCCGCGUGAGGGAUGACUGCCUUCGGGUUGUAAACCUCUUUCAGCAGGGACGAAGCGAAAGUGACGGUACCUGCAGAAGAGCACCGGCAACUACGCGCCAGCAGCCGC
rnacentral:rRNA from 1 species